rnacentral:misc_RNA from 1 species
UUGAUUUUAGUUAUUUGUGAACGUACUACGAACGAACAAAAAAUAUUAUAGUCAAAAAAAAUUAAAUCA